GCUCAGUAACACGUGGAUAAUCUGCCCUUGGGUCUGGGAUAACUCCGGGAAACCGGAGAUAAUACCAGAUAGAUCACAGAUGCUGGAAUGCCCUGUGGUCCAAAGCUCCGGCGCCCAAGGAUGAGUCUGCGGCCUAUCAGGUUGUAGUGGGCGUAACGGACCCACUAGCCUACGACGGGUACGGGUUGUGAGAGCAAGAGCCCGGAGAUGGAUUCUGAGACAUGAAUCCAGGCCCUACGGGGCGCAGCAGGCGCGAAACCUUUACAAUGCGCGCAAGCGCGAUAAGGGGACCUCGAGUGUUCCUACCUAGUAGGAACUGUCCAGUUGUCUAAAAAACAACUGUUAGCAAGAGCCGGGCAAGACCGGUGCCAGCCGCCGCGGUAACACCGGCGGCUCGAGUGGUGACCGCUUUUAUUGGGUCUAAAGGGUCUGUAGCCGGUCUAACAAGUUCUUUGGAAAAUCUGGUCGCUUAACGAUCAGGCUGCUAGGGGAUACUGUUAGACUUGGGACCGGGAGAGGCUAGAGGUACUUUAGGGGUAGGGGUGAAAUCCUGUGAUCCUUAAAGGACCACCAGUGGCGAAGGCGUCUAGCUAGAACGGAUCCGACGGUGAGGGACGAAAGCUGGGGGCACGAACCGGAUUAGAUACCCGGGUAGUCCCAGCCGUAAACGAUGCGAGCUAGGUGUCAGUUUUACUGCGAGUAAAACUGGUGCCGUAGGGAAGCCGUGAAGCUCGCCACCUGGGAAGUACGGCCGCAAGGCUGAAACUUAAAGGAAUUGGCGGGGGAGCACUACAACGGGUGGAGCCUGCGGUU
rnacentral:rRNA from 1 species